UACGUAGGUGGCAAGCGUUGUUCGGAAUUAUUGGGCGUAAAGGGCGCGUAGGCGGCAUGUUAAGUCGGCUGUGAAAGCCUGGGGCUCAACCCCAGAGGGUCGGCCGAUACUGGCAAGCUAGAGUACGGAAGAGGUGGGUGGAAUUCCUAGUGUAGAGGUGAAAUUCGUAGAUAUUAGGAAGAACACCAGUGGCGAAGGCGGCUCACUGGCCCGAUACUGACGCUG
rnacentral:rRNA from 1 species